rnacentral:misc_RNA from 1 species
GAUGAAGAACGUAGCGAAAUGCGAUAAGUAGUGUGAAUUGCAGAAUUCAGUGAAUCAUCGAAUCUUUGAACGCACAUUGCGCCCCUUGGUAUUCCAUGGGGCAUGCCUGUUCGAGCGUCAUUUGUACCUUCAAGCUUUGCUUGGUGUUGGGUGUUUGUCUCGCCUUUGCGUGUAGACUCGCCUUAAAAUAAUUGGCAGCCGGCGUAUUGAUUUCGGAGCGCAGUACAUCUCGCGCUUUGCACUCAUAACGACGACGUCCAAAAGUACAUUUUUACACUCUUGACCUCGGAUCAGGUAGGGAUACCCGCUGAACUUAAGCAUAUCAAUAAGCGGAGGA